AUGGCAGGGGUGUUGGACCUGCUCCUCGGCAAACUCACCACGGUGCUCAGCGACGAGUACAAGAUGCUCACAGGGGUGAGGAGGCAUGCCUCCUUCCUCAAGGACGAGCUCAGUGCCAUGAAAGCUCUCCUUGACGAGAUGGAUCUUAUGGACAAGCUUGAUCCCUCGGCCAAGAACUGGAGGGACCAUAUAAGAGAGAUGUCCUAUGACAUGGAGAACUGCAUCGACGACUUCAUGCAUGACAUUGAAGGUACCCAUGUAAAGGCAGGCUUUGUUAGAAAGAUGGUUCAGCGUCUUAGGAGGUUGGGGAGACGUCAUAAGAUAGCGAAGAGGAUCAAGGAGCUCAAGGUUCUUGCGGUGGAAGCAAAUGCUCGACGCGAGAGAUACAAGAUUGAUGAUUGCAUCAACUCGAGGCAUGGUGUUGUGGUUGUGGAUCCCCGGAUGUCGGCGAUCUACAAGGAUGUGGCAUGCCUGGUGGGUAUUGAUGGCCCAAAAGAAGAGCUUGUCAAUUGGUUAAUGGAUUCACAGAAGAAACUCAAAGUAGUUUCUAUUGUGGGGUUCGGAGGUUUGGGUAAAACUACACUUGCCAAACAGGUGUACAAUGAGAUUGGAGGGCAAUUUAACAGUAAGGCAUUUGUUUCGGUCUCCCAAAGACCUGAUAUGAAAAGCCUUAUCGGUGGCCUACAAUUCAAGCUUGGACUGCAGGAGUCUUCUCAUGCUCACAAGCUGCAAGACUUCAUUGACCAGCUUAGAGAACACCUCAGACAUAAAAGGUACUUUAUUUUAUUGGAUGACUUGUGGGAUCAAUCGACAUGA
rnacentral:rRNA from 1 species